CCUGAUCCCUGAUCCCAAGUGGCCAACGUAGAACUCCGAGAACAGCUGGUCUUCUCCAGGGCUUCGAUAGCAGAGCUCCAGUUCCUGAAGAGGCAAAGAGUUGAGUUGCCACCCUGUUCAUCUUGCAUGGAAGGUCUUUCCCCACCUGACGCCUUCUUGGCCCUGCUUGGCUCCAUAAGGACACUCCGAUGAUCCCUGUACUGAAAUCAACCAUCACCUUCAGACACUGCUCUUUUCCCAAUUUUCCACAGAAGGAUGAGGACACAACUGAGUACCUCACGGGUGAGCCACAGCAGCCAGGAACCUGGGGACAGAUGAGCUUCAUGGUCAGGUGGAAAUGCACCCAACUGGGAGAAUGCGGGAGCUGCAGCAGAUUCCUCGGGGAAGGGAAGAUGGACUUUCCUGGCCCCCGGGGCUUGCCCCUCAAGUCAGGGGUGUGUGUGGUGGUGGUGGUGGUGGUGAGGGUGGUGGGUGACGGUGAUGGCGAGGAUGGUCUUUUUCCCAGGGCACAGGCGCUCUCUCUCUCUGUCUUUAUCUCCCUCUUGUGAUCAUCGCUUUCAUUGUUCCAAACCUUCUCUGUUCUUCAUGGAAGGAUUCCUGGACUAGAGGCCAUUUGGUAUCAUGCUGUGCUGGGUCCAGGGGAUUCGCUGGCUCACCCACCCACUGACUUUUUCUUGUUCUUCUUUUUUUUAAUUUUUGAGAUGUUGUCUUGCUCUGUCACCCAGGCUGGAGUGCAAUGGCGCGAUCCUGGCUCACUGCAACCUCCAUCUCCUGGGUUCAAGUGAUUCUCCUGCCUCAGCCUCCCAAGUAGCUGGGGUUACAGGCGUGCGUCACCACACCCAGCUAAUUUUUGUAUUUUUAGUAGAGACAGGGUUUCACCAUGUUGGUCAGGCUGGUCUUGAACUCCUGACCUCAUGAUCCACCUGCCUCAGCUUCCCAAAGUGCUGGGAUUACAGGCGUGAGCCACCAUGCCUGGCUUUUUUUUUUUUUUUUUUUUGAGAUGCAGUCUUGCUCUGCCACCCAGACUGGAGUGCAGUAGCGCGAUCUUGGCUCGCUGCAGCCUCCACCUCCUGGGUUCAAGUUAUUCUCAUGCCUCAGCCUCUUGAGUAGCUGGGACCACAGGCACCUGCCACCACGCCUGGCUAAUUUUUUAGCCCACUUACUUUUUCAUGUUUUCCUUUCCUUGUUUGUCUAACGUUAAGAGUUGAAGCAAGGGGGGAUUUGAUUCUACUUGCACUGACAAGCGCACCUCACUCUGGCUGCUGCGGUGUCUGGGUUUCUCCCUGGCUGUAUUCGUCUCUCACCCCAUGGCUCUUUCCCUGUCUCCUGCUCAGCCCUGGGCCUGGGUCAGCCAGAGGGAGUUCUGGGUCCCCCCUUACCGUCUGCUGAAGAUGAGCAGCUGAGGCUUCUCCUGCUCCAGGGCCCUCAGCUCCUGCCUCAUCUCAUCACUCAGAGUCAUCUGGUCCAGCCUGAAAGCACAAAGGGAGCCGGGUCCUCCUGGGAUCCCCCAUGUGGUCCCCAGGUCCCCAGGGCCCAGAAUCCCGGGACCUGUCACCUUCUGAGGCAGCGGCCGCAGGGAUGAAUCAAUCCUGCCCUGCCUGUUCUGAGGCCCAGACAAGGAGGCGGUGAAAAGACCCUGUCUUCUGCGAAGGGCUCUGCAUUCAUUCCCCUACUGCUGUUAGAGCUGUUCUUCCCCUGGGGAGGAGCGCAGACCUUGAAGUAGAAGGUUAUUCUUCUCAACUAAGUCCUGGCUCCAGGAGGGAAGGAGGUGGAAACCUACUUGGGACUCUAGAGAGCAAACCCCCUCGGAAGCAGCCCAGGUUUGACAGGUUUGGGAGGCCUGGCUGAGGAAAGCCCGAGGCCCAGGCUUCCCGGACCCCCUCUGAGAAGGCUCUGGAUGUGGGGGUUUGGAGCCCCUGUCUGCUCCCUGAGAUGUGGCAGGGCCCCUGGCAGGAGCCGUGGCAAACACUGGAGACAAUCUGGCUGCUCAUAAUAGGCGAUGGAUAAAAACAUGAUGGUGAAGUCUGAUGGGACCAUGGAGCCUCAGCUCAUAGUGAGCCAGAAUUAAUCAGGCCCCGGCUUACCUGAUACAGAGGAGACAUUCUGGAGUCCCAGUGCCCAGGAAAGAAGACGGGAGGCAGGAGCAGAGCCUGGGAGAGAUGGCCUGAGGAUGAUGUUGUGAUGGAAGACUGUAUAUGAUCACAUGCACUGCUGUCCAGAAAUAUUCCUUCCUGCUGGACUCAGAGAACCCCAGGACCUCUACCCAACGUGCCUGCUCCAAAGAAGGAAUGAGGUUCUGCAGAG